GAUGAACGCUGGCGGCGUGCCUAAUACAUGCAAGUCGAGCGAACUGAUUAGAAGCUUGCUUCUAUGACGUUAGCGGCGGACGGGUGAGUAACACGUGGGCAACCUGCCUGUAAGACUGGGAUAACUUCGGGAAACCGAAGCUAAUACCGGAUAGGAUCUUCUCCUUCAUGGGAGAUGAUCGAAAGAUGGUUUCGGCUAUCACUUACAGAUGGGCCCGCGGUGCAUUAGCUAGUUGGUGAGGUAACGGCUCACCAAGGCAACGAUGCAUAGCCGACCUGAGAGGGUGAUCGGCCACACUGGGACUGAGACACGGCCCAGACUCCUACGUGAGGCAGAAGUAGGGAAUCUUCCGCAAUGGACGAAAGUCUGACGGAGCAACGCCGCGUGAGUGAUGAAGGCUUUCGGGUCGUAAAACUCUGUUGUUAGGGAAGAAUAAGUACAAGAGUAACUGCUUGUACCUUGACGGUACCUAACCAGAAAGCCACGGCUAACUACGUGCCAGCCGCCGCCGUAACAC
rnacentral:rRNA from 1 species